CAGUAGCCGCGGUAAUACGUAGGUGGCAAGCGUUGUCCGGAAUUAUUGGGCGUAAAGGGCUCGCAGGCGGUUUCUUAAGUCUGAUGUGAAAGCCACCGGCUCAACCGGGGAGGGUCAUUGGAAACUGGGAAACUUGAGUGCAGAAGAGGAGAGUGGAAUUCCACGUGUAGCGGUGAAAUGCGUAGAGAUGUGGAGGAACACCAGUGGCGAAGGCGACUCUCUGGUCUGUAACUGACGCUGAGGAGCGAAAGCGUGGGGAGCGAACAGGAUUAGAUACCCCGGUAGUCCCUGUCUCUUAUAC
rnacentral:rRNA from 1 species